rnacentral:rRNA from 1 species
CAUGGGCGCAGCCUGAUCCAGCCAUAGCCGCGUGGAGUGAUAGAAGGCCUUCGGGUUGUAAAGCCCUUUUGUUGGGAAAGAAAACGACCUGGCCAGUACCAAUAUUGUCCUGAUAGUUCCCUGCCAACAGCCACCGGUAAUACUUCGUGCCAGCAGCCGCGGUAAUA